rnacentral:rRNA from 1 species
GAUGAACGCUGGCGGCGUGCCUAAUACAUGCAAGUCGAGCGAACGGACGAGAAGCUUGCUCCUCUGAUGUUAGCGGCGGACGGGUGAGUAACACGUGGAUAACCUACCUAUAAGACUGGGAUAACUUCGGGAAACCGUAGCUAAUACCGGAUAAUAUUUUGAACCGCAUGGUUCAAAAGUGAAAGACGGUCUUUCUGUCACUUAUAGAUGGAUCCGCGCUGCAUUAGCUAGUUGGUAAGGUAACGGCUUACCAAGGCAACGAUGCGUAGCCGACCUGAGAGGGUGAUCGGCCACACUGGAACUGAGACACGGUCCAGACUCCUACGGGAGGCAGCAGUAGGGAAUCUUGCGCAAUGGGCGAAAGCCUGACGGAGCAACGCCGCGUGAGUGAUGAAGGUCUUCGGAUCGUAAAACUCUGUUAUUAGGGAAGAACAUAUGUGUAAGUAACUGUGCACAUCUUGACGGUACCUAAUCAGAAAGCCACGGCUAACUACGUG